ACUCCUACGGGAGGCAGCAGUGGGGAAUAUUGGACAAUGGGCGGAAGCCUGAUCCAGCAACGCCGCGUGAGGGAUGACGGCCUUCGGGUUGUAAACCUCUUUCAGCACCGACGAAGCGAGCCUUUGGGUGAGUGACGGUAGGUGUAGAAGAAGGACCGGCCAACUACGUGCCAGCAGCCGCGGUAAUACGCAGGGUCCGAGCGUUGUCCGGAAUUAUUGGGCGUAAAGGGCUCGUA
rnacentral:rRNA from 1 species